UACGAGUGCCCCGAGCGUUAUCCGGAAUCAUUGGGCGUAAAGAGCUCGUAGGCGGUUCGCUAAGUCGGGUGUGAAACCUCCAGGCUCAACCUGGAGACGCCACCUGAUACUGGUGUGACUCGAGUCCGGUAGGGGAGCGUGGAAUUCCUGGUGUAGCGGUGAAAUGCGCAGAUAUCAGGAGGAACACCAGCGGCGAAGGCGGCGCUCUGGGCCGGAACUGACGCUGAGGAGCGAAAGCGUGGGUAGCAAACAGG
rnacentral:rRNA from 1 species